rnacentral:tRNA from 1 species
UCCCAGGUGGCUCAGUGGUAAAGAACCUGCCUCCCAACGCAGGAGACACAGGUUCGAUCCCUGGGUUGGGAA